UUCAAAACAUUUCCAUAAAGAAACAAAAAAAAAUAAAUUAAACUUGAGAAAAGAAGUUGCUUUUUGUUCAGCUGCAGCCAUAAGAACUCUUCUGCCAAAAUCAUCUGUAAAUGACAAUAAAUCUAAUGCAUUAUAAAAAUUAUGCCAGAACAACAUGGUUAAGCAUUUCCAUCAGCUGCCACUGCUUCAGCUUUGUUUUGAUCAAGAAGUGGUUGUGGUCUUUCAUGGAAAAAUCCCAUGAACAGAUGGUGGGACCUCUACUGAUGUAUUAACUCACGGUGAAUUUAGAGGGCUGAAACUCUCCUCUAAACCUGUUUGCCAAAGUGAAUACAGCUGUGAAGAGAUUUUUCUGGACAAAGCCCAGUAACUUACAUAGACUAUGCAGUCUGCCCGUGGAGGAGUUCAGUUGUGACAAAUGAAAUUUUACCCUGGGCUUGAACAAUGCUUGAAUAGACAAGCUGACAUUUGUCAAAGUGUUGAUGGAUUAGCUGACAUUCACAUCACAUACUUGGCACAAUUUAUUGUGUUAAAUGUGGGGAUGUUUAUGACUACAUUGGGUUUUGCACAAUAAAGCUGAAGUGCGUUGCAAGGCAAUACUCUGAAAUCCUAUGUUUAAGCACUCUGGUCAGUGCUCUUAGUAACUCAUUUUCAAGAGCACUAAAAAAGAUAAACACAAACCUGUUGUGCUGCUUUUGUUAGAGCCACUGGGAAUACCCUAAAAGGUCAAAGAAUACCGACGUGGAUAUUUUAGUCCCAACUACAUUUCAGUCUGAGCAAGUUGUACGUUCUUUGGCCAUUUUUAAUAGUUUGGAUGUUAAUGACUUGAAGUUUAAAACUAUUUAGUUUAAAAUUGAGGCAAAAAGGAUGUCUUUUUAAAAAAAAAGUUGGGGUUUCCUUUUUUUUCCCCUCUUUAAGCGUUCCAAAACUAUUUCCUGUUAAAAUACAUUGCAUUUUAUGAUUCCAUACUUCAGCAGCAAGGUAAAAUAGCUGGUUUAGUUCUGAAUAAUAACUUAAUUGUUUUUCCUUCAGUUUAAUGUAUAAUACAGUAGCUUUGAACACUCAGGAAAUGCAGUAGUGUCCUAGAGCCACACUAUUUGCAAAACCAUCGGAUGUUAAAACUAACCAGAUUUCUAAGGGGGAGGGUGGCAGAGGGAAUUAGUGCAAUUUCUGCAAUAGCGACAUGGGUGUGCUAUUAUCAGACCAUUGGAAAUUUACCACGCUUAACCCCUGAGUUUGAAAUAAAUUUCAAUAUUGAAAAUUUUUAAACCUGUCUUUCUGUUGAUUUAUGGCUUUUCAGAGCAUAUUCACAUGGAGAAUCAUGGUUUUCAUAUCUAUGUGGUGAGCAAACUGCUAAUAUGUGUUUGGAUACUAGGUUGUGAAACUGCAUGCGUAAAAUUAAAGGUCUGGGGUGUCCAUAGUUCUGAAGAGUUUCAUAGGUGUGAAGUGUUCAGCUAUCUUUGUGCUCCUCAGAAUUACAAGUAUACACAGUUCUCAGAAACUACCAAGUACUAAAAGAGGAUGGUAUUCCUGAACAACCUUGAAGAGGGCAUUUUGAAGACUUCAGAUGUCCCAUAAUACUCCUUUUUAUUUAGUAAGUAAGCCCUGUGUCUGAUAGUUCAAAUUUUAAACUGAACCACUGAUUUUGCUGUAAAAAAAUCCAGGUUCUUCAGUAACUGCAAGCAAUGACAGAGGUCCUGCUGGAUCAUGUUUUUUCAUCAUUUGACUAUGUCUAAGUUGCUGAAGAAGUCUCCAAUGGGUCUCCAGCAUGAAGUAGUCUGCGCAUAUGGAAGGAUCAGAACUCCGUUCCACAAGAGAUGGAAUUCCUUUUUGGUUUUGAGGCUGAAGAAAGGAGGAUUCACCAUCCAGAUUCACUGUGCCGUUACAUUCAACAGCUGUGUUGAACACGACAUCUAAAAGGCAUUUCUUAACAGUAGAAGUUUCCAAUGCUGUGAACUCGAUGUGUUGCACAAUGACUGGAGGAACAAGCAAAGAGCACACAGUAGAUUUUGUGAUUAUUAUCAGCCACCCAUGAAGCUUGAGUGUCAUCACAAGGGCAGCACAGGGGAAAGAACAGUGAGCUUUUAUCACUGCAAGUUUUAACAAGCGUUACAUGUCAUGAAAUAAAGCUUUGCGUACGUUAUGUCUAA